ACUGGGUUUGAUGUCUUUAAUGCCCUGGACUUAAUGCAGAACAAAACAUUCUUGGAGAAACUCAAGUUUGGCAUUGGGGAUGGCAAUUUACAAUAUUAUUUGUAUAACUGGAGAUGUAGUCAAAUGGAACCAAACCAGGUUGGGCUUGUAUUGCAAUGAAGUAGGUAUUAGGAAACUAUUGUAUUUACUGUACAGGAAGCUGGGGAAAAUGAGAUAGUGGUAGUUGACCUGCAGAAAGAAAAAAAACACUCUGUUUUGUGAUAUAUGUUGAUUUUCUCCAAAAAACAAAACAAAAAACAACUUUAAAAGAACAACCUCACUAAGGUGUACAGGAGUGAGAUAUAUGAUGUGUCACUGUGUAUAACAUGUAAUGUAAAAUAAAACAUGCACUUUAUCUGCAAUGCUCCAUGAGUAGUACAUUACACUGGUGCAGCGUGUUCUAUUUUUUCUCCAAAAAAAUUUCCUGUGAACAAUAACAUUUACUAAAUGAUCAUACUUAUGUUCCUUCAUUUAAAGUUAAGUCAAUGAGUUGUUUAUGUAUUUGGUAAUUUUUGCAAUAGUCAUUUUAAUAUUAAUCACAUUGGCAAGCCUUAUUAGUAUGUAGAAUGCGAUAAAAGGUUUGAAUGAAUUUUAAGUUUUUCUGGGUUAAAAGUUUCAUUUUAGAUAGAUUAAACCAUUAAUUUAAAAUAGUUUAUAUCGUUUGCUACAGUCGUUUUGAAUGACUAUCAAUAAUUGAGAUUAUAAUUCGAUAAUAUCAAUUGAUAAUGUUCCAGCAUUAAGGAAUGAUACUUUUAUUUGCGAUAUAUGAACACCAAUCAAUAAACAAUUAGUACUACAGUAUUAUGAACAUAUACUGAAACUUUUACUGUGAAUUAAUAAAGCCAAGGCUACAUCAUUAAAUUUUAUAAUUCAAUAUUUUUAUGGAUAUUUUGUUGAACGUUACUUGCAGAGAUGGUGUUUUAGAACAAUGUUUAAGUAUAAUAAUCAUGUUUAUGAGCUAUAUGAACUUUUAGAAUGUCUAUAAACUAUAUGUUUAUGGUAUUUGAACUCGGUAUAUAAUGUACACAUUCAUGAACAGUUACGAAUUGUUCACCAACUUUUUUUGCUCAUUAUUUAAUUGGAGAUUCAUAUUGGCAAGUUAAAGGAAUUGCCAUUCUUUACAUACAAAUUAUGACGUUUUUUACUUCUCAAAGUAAAAAAUCAUCCAAACAGUUAUGUGUCUGCGAAUCAUGUGCUAUAUUUAUCUAAGAAAUGAAUUUAUGUUAAUAAUAUUGUCGGCAUGAAUGCAUGAGCGGAUUAGUAUAUAGUUAUGUGACACAAAUACUUGUUAUGUGUUGGCCCAUGUAUUCAUUUUUUUUCAGACCACUAUUGCAACCUUAUUGAUACCUUCGUAUUGUGUGAAAGUGUGUUUGAUAACUUUGACACUGUUUUCAAAGUGAUGACAGAAAAUUAAAGAAUUCCCUUUAUUUAUCUUUUGACAGAAAGAGUGCUUGGAAGGGCACCUGAGGUCUUCCUCCACUAGUGAAGCUGGAAUGUCGCCAUAUGACAUAGUGUGUCGGUGUGACGUAAAACCCAAAUCCUUCAAACAAACAAAAUGUAAAUUAUUAAGCAGUGAAGUGCUUGCAUCAAUUAUAACAAACUUCUUCAACAAGUAUAGAGUCAGGCUAAUCGUGUAGUGCUACCUGAUUUAUACAGUAUUCAUAAAGCUUAAUUGUAUUUUUAUUUGUUAUCCAAAAUCUAUUUGGCAAUUCCAAAACCAAGAGAAGGACAUGCCCAUUGAACACAUUAUUUAUAAGAAGUGGUUAAAUCUAUGCUCUCCAUAAAUUUUAAAGAAGCUAGUGAGAAUUUGAGAGUAGCCCUCGAAUGUUUGUUAAAACAUUUUUGUUUACUAUGUCUUUGCAAAAAUAACUAGUGACUAAUUAUAUAGAAGCCUGCGAUUUUGAAAGAGAGCACUUAAGUCAGUUGAUUUACAACAUUGUUGUAAUAUUGAAUCAUUUUGUUCACCAGGUGACGUACAUAGCAUUGAUGUUUUCAUUAUUUUCUAUUCUUGGAUUGUAAUAUUGAUUUUUUUAUAUCAAAUAUUUAAUGCACACAUUUAUGGUAUUUAUUUUAGUUCACCGUUUCAUCGUCGGCAGUUUUUGUUUUAACGCUUUAUUAGAAUGGUUGGCACUUUCUUUGUUGUAGUUUUUUUGUAAUUAUUUCAUAUCCGAUCUGAACCAUGGUGUAAAAUUGAUGAUAGAAUAAAUGUGCUGUUUACGUAAUGACAGAAUUUGUUUCCAUUCAGGUUUUGCAUUAAAAUAUCAAGUCAUUGUCAAAAGUCGCAUAAGUAUCAAUUUCGGUUAUCCUUCAUUUCCAUGUGGAAGAUCAGUGAGUGCAUUUAAUUUUUCUAUCACCUCUAAGAUUGUAACUGUUAUAUAUGUUUAUUUCAUGCUUUCCAGUGUUUUAUUGUAAUAUAUCAGAUGAUUAUAUUCUGAUAAACCACUAGUGAAAUUUAUAAAAUAUAAUUUUCACUGUAGCCGGACUAUAUCUGAAUGCGGAUGAACAGAAAAUCAUAAAUAAAUGGAAUAACAGGCAGAAAUAAAUGCCGUCGUACGUAAAUUUUGCUUCUUUAGGAAAAGAAAGUCAAUGUCAUCAUACAUCAUGUUAGAAAUUUAACAAAAUUAGAGAAAUUUAACGGAACUAGAUUUCAAAACUGAUGAUGUGAUGUCAUGAUAUAAUGACGUCACAAAGGAGAAUGCGCGACGUUACGCGGCAAAAUCAUUAAAAAAUUACUUAAAAUCACUUAAAAAGCAUAAAAUAAAAAGAAAAUUUAUUUGUUUUACAAAUAAGAUUGAAAUAUAUUUCAUUCGUGAACACCAGCUAUUAUAUUUUCACUCGUGGCUACGCCACUCGUGAAAAUAUUGCAUCUGGUGUUCACUCAGUGAAAUUAUAUUUCAAUCUUACAUGCAAAACAAACAAAUAUCCUCUAUAUAAUUAAUUUUUCAUCAGCUGAAGCCAUCCAGAUAGCUUACGAAAUUUUGAUGUUAACUGGUGAAAAUUUUGAUGGGUCUUGCUUGCAAUUGUACAUGGUAUGGCACCUAUGGUCUUCCUCCAUCAGUGAAAUCUGCAUUGCAUUAUUUUCAAAUUUACGUUCAUUAGUAUUUAUAUAGUUUUGAAUUAAUAAAUGUAAGCUGUACAGACACACGCAAUUAUUGCUUAUAAAAAUGUUUUAACCACAAGAUUAUUUAAUGUUGUUUCUAAUUUCCUAUUAAUGUUUUAUAAACAAAAAAAAAAACAUUAUUAAAAAUAUUAAGCUCAAUUACAUGUAAUAUAUGAAAUACUUCCGUUAACUUCAGAUCUUGCUUAAAACUUAACUUAAAUGUGCUUGUCCAACUUAUAUUUUUUAUGCCCCCACAGAGUGGGAGCAUAUAGCGUUGCACUUGUCCGUCUGAGUGUCCGUCCGUACGUCUGUCCGUACGUCCCGAAAUCUUGUGAACGCAACUCCUCUUAAACCGGAUGGCAGAUUUUGCUUAAACUUCCAGGGAUGAACAACCUUAAUGUGUAGAUGGUAGUAAAGGAAGGAAUUUUUGCUGCAACCAAAUUUAACAGAAUUAUGGUCCUUUGUUGAUUUUUUCACUAUAUACUAUGUAGAAAUUUUGUGAAUGCAACUCCUCUUUAAACCUGAUGGCAGAUUUUGCUUAAACUUCCAGGGAUGAACAACCUUAAUGUGUAGAUGGUAGUAAAGGAAGGAAUUUUUGCUGCAACCAAAUUUAACAGAAUUAUGGUCCUUUGUUGAUUUUUUCACUAUAUACUAUGUAGAAAUUUUGUGAACGCAACUCCUCUUAAACCGGAUGGCAGAUUUUGCUUAAACUUCCAGGGAUGAACAACCUUAAUGUGUAGAUGGUAGUAAAGGAAGGAAUUUUUGCUGCGACCAAAUUUAACAGAAUUAUGGCCCUUUGUUGAUUUUUUCACUAUAUACUAUGUAGAAAUUUUGUGAACGCAACUCCUCUUAAACCGGAUUGCAGAUUUUGCUUAAACUUCCAGGGAUGAACAACUUUAAUGUGUAGAUGGUAGUAAAGGAAGGAAUUUUUGCUGCGACCAAAUUUAACAGAAUUAUGGCCCUUUGUUGAUUUUUAGUUUUCAACUUGUGGCACAUGUAGUCCAAAAAAUAUUUGACCUAGAGUCAUAAGAUUGACAGAACAGUGGCGUGUGGGGGCAUCCGUGUCCUAUGGACACAUUUCUAGUUUACCUUUCCAUUACCAAUGUUAGGGAAAAUCAUGUUGAAUAUUUUAAGACCAGUCUGCCAACAGAAUAGAGCCCGAUCUGACUGCUCGGAUGUAUAGGCUGACUUGACUCCAUACUAGUGGCAAAUGUUAAUUGUUUAUGGUUCAAACAGUAUAAUCUAGUAAAUUAAAUUUGUUUUCAAUUCAUUUUAUUCAUUAAGUUUUUUGUUCAAUGACAUCAUUAUUAUUCAAGAUCAUCAAUUCAAACAUUUUGAAACAAUUGACAUUAUACAGCGUUACUAUCAAUAAUUUGUUAGACAUGAUGCAAUUAAUUUUCGUUAUUACAUUAUCAAAGAUGUAUCGACACCGUUUCUAUAAAUAGACAUGAUGCAAUUUAUUUCACUGAGUAGGAGCUUGUGUGUUUAUUUGAGUGUUAGGUAACUAUGAUUAAUUUUUGUAGUCUUUUUAUAUAUGUUUCAUUGUAAAUGAUAACUUAAAACAUUUUUUAUUUGCUAUCAAGAAUAAAUUGAUGAAAGAUGUGUAAA